UACGUAGGGUGCGAGCGUUAAUCGGAAUUACUGGGCGUAAAGCGUGCGCAGGCGGUUCGUUGUGUCGGCGGUGAAAGCCCCGGGCUUAACCUGGGAAUGGCCGUCGAAACUGGCGAACUGGAGUGUGGCAGAGGGGGGUGGAAUUCCGCGUGUAGCAGUGAAAUGCGUAGAGAUGCGGAGGAACACCGAUGGCGAAGGCGGCCUUCUGGACCAGUACUGACGCUCAUGCACGAAAGCGUGGGGAGCAAACAGG
rnacentral:rRNA from 1 species